rnacentral:rRNA from 1 species
GAACGCUGGCGGCGUGCUUAACACAUGCAAGUCGAACGGUGAAGCCCUUCGGGGUGGAUCAGUGGCGAACGGGUGAGUAACACGUGGGCAAUCUGCCCUGCACUCUGGGACAAGCCCUGGAAACGGGGUCUAAUACCGGAUACGACCACGGAACGCAUGUUCUGUGGUGGAAAGCUCCGGCGGUGCAGGAUGAGCCCGCGGCCUAUCAGCUUGUUGGUGGGGUGACGGCCUACCAAGGCGACGACGGGUAGCCGGCCUGAGAGGGCGACCGGCCACACUGGGACUGAGACACGGCCCAGACUCCUACGGGAGGCAGCAGUGGGGAAUAUUGCACAAUGGGCGCAAGCCUGAUGCAGCGACGCCGCGUGAGGGAUGACGGCCUUCGGGUUGUAAACCUCUUUCAGCAGGGAAGAAGCGCAAGUGACGGUACCUGCAGAAGAAGCACCGGCUAACUACGUGCCAGCAGCCGCGGUAAUACGUAGGGUGCGAGCGUUGUCCGGAAUUAUUGGGCGUAAAGAGCUCGUAGGCGG